CACGGAGUGUAUUCUGCUUGUAAGCUUGAUGCUGAUGGUUCCCUAGGCUUUAAUAACACAGAGAGAUAAACACACACACAUAUUCCCCUAGUGCACUUUGUCCUCGGAAAGUCUUCAUCAGGGACGCUAUAUUUAUGGCCUCUGAAUGGACGGCAUGUAGAGAAGUAAUCAGACUCAAUCAGAUGACCAGCCCCCAAGCUGAGGCACAGAUAGAAAGAAAGAGAAAAAGAGAGAGAACGAGAGGAGGGAUGGGAAGGCAGGGAGAGUGAAAGAAGAGUGGGGAGGCAAAUCUAAGAGGUCCAUUUUGUUCUUUUUCAAACAGAAUAUUGCCGCACGACUGUGUGUCUGACCUCAAUGAGUAUACACUGAAAUAUCAACAGGUUUUGCAAGAUAACCAAAAGCAUCGACUACAUUACCUAGAGACAGCUGAUUUCCUCAAGCCAAAAAACAUGGAAAGGACAGAGAAUAAAGUGUCCACCAUCUCCCCACAAAAACAGACAGUGAAAAAUAGAUCCAAGUCAACAGAAGAGGUACAGCAAGCCAAAAAGGCCUUUCAUACGCCACAAAAAUCUCUUCCGGCUAAACCAGAAACUGAGCAACUAGAGGAGACCUCAGAAUUGAGUGCCUCAUCGGAGGAAUUCAAAUGAUUGCCGGAUUCAAACUUCGGGGCUUUGAGAUUUAGACAGAUCAGCUGGAAUUAUGGGUAAUAACAAGAGGAUUAUUCAGUGUCUCUGUUUAUGGAAUUGUGAUUUUACUUAGAUUAGUUAGCAUAGAAGAAGACCAACAAUAGUCGUGUAGCUUCUUGAGUUUGUAUGAGUCUGAUGCUGUUUGUGAAAUAAAUGCAGACCUGGAUAUCACAGUGCAUUGUGUGUAAUUCAUAUUAGUAGGUUAAUGCAUGUAGUGGCUUGUAAAAUAUCAAUAAAACCUUUCACAAACACUGUA